UUCGUUUUUUUUUAGGUGAGGGAAUUUUUAUUUUAUAACAAGUUAUAAAAACGUUAGAAUAAUGACACCGAUAUAAAACUUGACAACAUCUCAUUUGACCGUAAAUACUGAAUGAGGAAAAAGCGUUUUUGAUAGUCAACCGCUUUCACGCACGUCUGUCAAAAUAAAAGUCUAGCGUCAGAAAAAAACAGAAUUACGUUUGUUGUUUCUUUGAAUGCACACUCCGCAACCCACUCAAAACGUUUUUGCGACCCACCAGUUGAAAACACUGCUUUAAUUUAUGUUUUUUGAUGACUUAAGGUUAACUAAAGAGCAUGGGACGUCAUCCUGCUGGUCAACAUUAGUCGCACAAAAAAACUGAUGAGGAUGUGAGGGUCAGGGUUUGAGAGGACAUCUCAGGUGAAGUGAGAAAAACAGCACCAUGGUAAAAAUAAACAACAACAACAAGAAAUUUCUGGUAAAGUUGGAUAUUGCAGUAGCGGCCUACUAGGAAUUGUGACCUACGCACUCUAUGUACAAUAGUAUUGAGACGCCCUCUUCUAAUGAACA